UACGUAGGGGGCAAGCGUUGUUCGGAUUCAUUGGGCGUAAAGGGUGCGUAGGCGGUCUGGCAAGUCGGAUGUGAAAUCUCAGGGCUCAACCCUGAAACUGCAUUCGAUACUGCUAGGCUUGAGUACUGGAGGGGAGACUGGAAUUUACGGUGUAGCAGUGAAAUGCGUAGAUAUCGUAAGGAAGACCAGUGGCGAAGGCGAGUCUCUGGACAGUUACUGACGCUGAGGCACGAAGGCCAGGGGAGCAAACGGG
rnacentral:rRNA from 1 species